GGGGUCGUAGCUCAGCUGGGAGAGCAUCUGCCUUGCACGCAGAGGGUCAGGAGUUCGAUUCUCCUCGGCUCCACCA
rnacentral:tRNA from 1 species